AUUAUCAGAGCCAAACCCGCCGCGAGGGGGGGACGGAAAGCAACGGGUCUUCCAGGGAAGACGGCCGAGCUGCGGAAG
rfam:Desulfuromonas soudanensis strain WTL chromosome, complete genome.